UACAGAGGUCUCAAGCGUUGUUCGGAUUCAUUGGGCGUAAAGGGUGCGUAGGCGGCGCGGUAAGUCGGAUGUGAAAUCUCGGAGCUUAACUUCGAAACUGGCAUUCGAUACUGCCGUGCUUGAGGACUGGAGAGGAGACUGGAAUUUACGGUGUAGCGGUGAAAUGCGUAGAUAUCGUAAGGAAGACCAGUGGCGAAGGCGGGUCUCUGGACAGUUCCUGA
rnacentral:rRNA from 1 species